rnacentral:lncRNA from 1 species
CACUGAGGGCUAAAUCGUUUCACCAUCUUGCAUGUGAUCCAAUCAUUUUGCAGUAAUUAAAUGCUUUGCCCAACCUAGGAAAUGUCAAGGUGAAACUCAUGCAUUGUGGAGGUUAUUUCAUUAUUCGUUUCAUUGAUGCCUUGUCAACAGAUUUGUUUUAGAAACCGUGUAUUGAAACGGGCCAUUGAGACUGGCCUAAUAACCAUCCGAUCUACAUGUCAUCGUCAUCCACAAUCUUACUCUUACUGUUUAACAACUAUUUGAUAUACGCAUCGUGCUAUAUGAGUCGAUGCAAGAUUCCUAUUCAGUCUCAAAUACUCCCUCCGUCCCCAAAUACUGCUAUUUCUAACAGAUUUCAGACAGAUUAGUGUGGCAAACAAAAGACCAUUCUACCCUCAAUUAAUUUGGGUUCCACCAUUUAAUCAUGCACGUUAAGCCAUGGUUCUCUGGUUCUAAUGAGCUGCAUUUAAUGCCAACUAAACAGACUUAAAUAAUUACCAUGCGCUAAAGUACUACUCCCUAGAAGAAAUUAAAUGGGCUGGUGGACCACGGAAGUUUCGAGGAGAAUUAAUUGAGCUGGUGGACUGAGUAUGCUAGUAGAAAUAACAGUAUUUAUAGACAAAAUUUUCUCGUAGAAAUAGCAGUAUUUAGGGACGAAGGGUACGUCUCAUGGUAUGUCUAUAUUCUCAGCUGCCAUAAAUCACAUUGCUUACCACGAGAAUAGAAGUCGGUUGUCGCUAUGGUACAUGUACUUAGAAUUUGUAUCGUCGGCUCGACUAAUAAAGGUACCUGUUGACUGUUGUACUCCGUAUGCAAUACGAUCUGCCCCCAUGAGGGCGUGCCAUCUGUAUCGUCGUGUUCAUGCCGAAAGCCGCUAGGCAUGAGAGCACACGAACGACCUCGCUCGGAAUGCAUGGACGUGGUGAGGUACUUGUGUGCUAGCCAACGACGGUUUUUAAUUUUUAACUGUCACAUUUAAGUGUCUAUACUAGAUUUUUUAACACGUGAAAAAGAAAGCCCUAAGACGUUGAAUGAUUAUUGUUAUUUUUUUGCCAACGUACCAAUUCUCGCUUCCUAUGUGUCACACUCUGACGACACUCACCAAUUGAUCGUGGUUGCUUCACACUGCACCAAUUGCGCCGUGCCAAAGUUUUGUUCGCGGUUGAAAAUUCUUUAUUGUGCUAAGAUCAACAAUUAUCAUAUACAAUACUCCCUUCGUCAUAAAUUAUAAAUUAUUUUAAGAAUCUUGAAGAAUCAAAAUAUCUCAAGUUUAACCAAAUUUAUAAGAUAAGAUAAUUAUAUUUAUGACACCUACUAAGUAUCAUUAGAUUCUUUAUUUAUUAUAUUUUUAUAGUAUAUCUAUUUGAUGUCAUAAAAUUUUAUAAUUCUUUCUAUAAUUUUGAUCAAACUUGAGAUGCUAUGACUCCCUAAGAUUCUUAGAAUGACUUAUAAUUUGAGAUGGGAGAGUAACAUAAUAAAUGGCUAUACAUAUCUCUACAACUAAAAAUUAUGAAAAGGACCCAUCUACCACACACACAUGGUGAAGCCACAACUCUCAUCCCUUUUAGUCAUGAUAGGCUAUCUCAUCAACCUAGGCCCCACUCACCCCAUGCAUGCAAAAUUGUUUGAGCGAAUUUAAAAAAAGUCAUAACUUUUAAACCGAAGAUAUAAAUUAAAUUCCGAUUGCACCAUUAAAUUUCUCAUAACAAAUCCUUCAAAACAAGAUCACACAUGGAUAUAUUUAGAUAAAAUUUUAUUAAUGAAUAUUUAUCUCUACAACUAAAAAUUAUGGAGAGGACCCAUCCAUAACUUCCAUCCUUUUGGUGGUCUUUUUUACUGCGCGAUGACACGCUAUCCCAUCAACCUAGGCCCCACUCACCUAUGCAUGCAAAAUUGUUUUAGCGAAUUAGAAAAAGUCAUAACUCCUAAACUAGAGAUAUAAAUUAAAUUCUGAUUGCACAAUUAAAUUUCUUAUAACAAAUUCUUCAGAAUAAAAUCACACAUGAAUAUAUUUAGAUAAAAUUUUAUUAAUUAAUAUUUAUCUUAUAAAGAUAAAAUAUUUUCUUUUAUUAAGUGGAAACAAUAUUUUAGGUUCAAUAGACAAUGUUCUGCCUUUGUAAAAAAAUGUUAUCGAUUAAAAUAGUAUUUUGGUUUUAGGUUUAUGAAAUUGAUAUUACAAUAUACAUAAAAAUAUAUAAAUACAUGACAUAGAUAAAAAAAUAAAAAAAAAUCUAGAGUAAAAAGCACAAGAAAAAAUAAAAACACAAAUGGAGAAAAAUUUCAAAUAAUGUCAAAUGGUUACUUUUCAAAUAUCGUAAAUAUAUUUAUAGAACAUUAACAUCACUAAAUACAUCAUAGAACAUCAUUAAAUAUAUUAUAGAACAUCACAUCUAUUAUAGAUUACAUGUAUACCAAGUGAACACCGUAAGAAACAUUAUAGAAUAUCACAUAUAUACUACGUAAACAUGACAUAACACAACAUAGAACACUAAAUAUAUAUUAAAUAAAUACCACAUAUAUAUAGAAAAUAAAAAUAAAAAAAUAAAAUUACUAAGAAAAAAUCUAAAAACAAACAUAAUUAACAAAUGAUAAAAAGUGCAUAGAAAAAAUAAAAUUAAUGAAUAAUUUAAAUAAGGUUAAAAAUAAGAUUAAAAGGAAAUAAAAUAUAAAAUAAGAAUGAAGAAACAUAGAAAAUGUGAAAAGAACAAAGAAAAACAAAUAGAAGCAAGGAAGAACAAUAAAAAUAAAACCAAAGAAAAAGAAAAUAAAAGGUAAAAUUAAAACAAGAAAAUAAUAAGGAAAGGAUAGAAAAUAAAAUAAAAUCGAAAAAACAAAAACUGAAAAGAAAUGAAAAAGGAAGAAUAUAGACAGAAAAAAUAAAAUAACAAUGAAGAAACAUAGAGUAUGUGGAUUUUAAAACCCGUAACAACGUACGGGCAUUAACCUAGUAUUUAUAACAUUACAUUAUCGUCACAUGCUUUGUUACGUCCAUAUCACGUUAUUUUAUAUCUAUUAAUUUAUUUAGGCACAUUCUUUAUUACAUCAUUAAUAAAGUUAUAAUCCCUCACAUUGUUUGUACAUGUCUAAAAGUAAACCUUGGGUAGCCAAGUAUAUGAAAAGGGUAACAAUUAAAAACAUAUAAGUAUUAAACUCACUACAAGAUGAGUGUUCUCUUCUCCAACUUUCCAACGGCCUUCGGUAGCACAACUGAGACUACGACGGGUUCUUCACUCAUACGAGGAUGGAUAAACAAAAGUACGAAAAUAUGAUAAAAUAUGGCAACACGAGAUGUUUAAAAAAGUGUCAAGUCAAAGUGCAGCGAUAUAUGCAGCUAAGGCAUCCUAACAAUCAAAUGAUUUCAACCUCACGACACGACCCGAUCAAAUCGAUCAAGCACUUGCCAUCUAACUUUUCUAUACCAAUAAUUCAUUCAAUUAACACUUCUGUUAUAUUUGAAAUACUUUUUAGAAACACGUGUGUGUCGCACGUGCGUAUCUGCUAGUAAGCCCAAAAGAAGGUUGAAUUGGGUACUUGAAAGCUUAACCAAACUCAAAUUCAACUUAUAUUAGUAUGUGUCAACUAUGCCUCUAUAGUGUGCUCUACCUAUCCAAGCCAGAAAGAGUUUUACAACAUAGAACUAAUCCUAUCAACUAGCGUAUGUUAACCUUGGAAAAAACAAAGGCCACACAACACAAAAACUUAAAUGUAUAAGGUAAAUAGCACGUUAAGAAAGAACAUGGAAAAUAAAAUUUAUCUAGUGGUGUAGGCUACCAAAAUGUAACACAUAGUCCAUGUUAGAUAUGAUAUGUUCCUAGUCACCAAGAAUGACCCUGAUCACGGUGUUGGUCAAGCCACAAAGACUACCGCCAACCAAGAUAAGUGGCAAAAAAAAGACUAGGACACACCACUUGUCACCUAACUCUUUUGAUCACUAAGUUUCGUCCACUACGCAUUUUCUCCACCAAGGAAGGCGACUCCUCGUUCUCAGCACACAUAAGUCACCACAACACCUCAAAGGGUUGACAACAUUGACGAUGAGCACAAAGGCUUCAAGAUUCUAUGAACCCAAGCUUAGAAGAGACCAACUCAACUCUCUAAACAAGAAAUAAUCACUCAAUAAUUGUUCUUUAUAUACCUUUGGAAUGAUCACUAUGCUCUCAUGAGGUUUAAAUGUAGUGUAGCAAGUCCCUCUAACUUCUAUGAUAUUCAACAUCCUUGAAAAGCCAUUCCUAAAAGAUAUCCAUGAAAAGCCAAUUGGACAUCUCCAACAGUUUGCCAAAAUUCACUUGGCAAAUAUCUUGAUUUGGCAACUCCCUAAAAUAUAUGGCAAGUAAAAAAAAUAGACUCUCUCUAAUAGUUUGCCAUUUUAACUUGGUAAAAUAAAAAAGUAGACCCACAACCUAUAUUAUCUGGGUUUAUAUUUCAUUCAUCAGUUUGUAGUAGAACAAAUACCCACGAUGUUUAUUUUCUUGUGAAAAUUUUGGUUGCAUUCACAAACAGGAAAACAAGGAGCAUCAGCAUUUAUUCAAGACCUGGCAUCCAUGUUCCAUCAACACGGCCUAGUGCAGACAAGAAGCGGCAGGAGCAAAUCAGUACAUCAAUUCCAGAAGCAAAGCAGGAACCGCAUGUCGGCCACCAGCAGAAUAUACUCUCCCAUCGCAUCCAACAGCAUGUGUCCACCAAUCAGUUUCUGCUAGGAUUGAAGAAGAGCAGGACCUGCAGGCCACCAACAGCGAUGCCAAGUGCGAUGCGCGUGCGUAAAGAUGCGCGCGGAGGGGAGAAAUAGUAAGUUGCUAAAAAUGGUAACCUCAUUUGUCAAACUAUUGGAGAUGGAAUUUUCUUAUUUUGCCAAAAUUUUAAGGAUGGCAACCUCACUUGGCAAACUAUUGGAGAUGCUCGCCCUAAGGAAACCCAUUGUCGGUGUCUGUUGAGUGGCAAUACGUCAUAGGGUAACCCGAGACGAUGUUUGGUGGGGAUCGGUGGGUGCCAAACUCGAUGGUGAACUCAAAGACAACAUUUUGUACUAGUUUAGGCC